rnacentral:tRNA from 1 species
GCCCAGGUGGUGGAAUAGGUAGACACAAGGGACUUAAAAUCCCUUGGCCGUAAGGCCGUACGAGUUCAAGUCUCGUUUUGGGCA